GACGAACGCUGGCGGCGUGCCUAAUACAUGCAAGUCGAGCGAAUUUAUGAGAGCUUGCUCUCGUAAAUUAGCGGCGGACGGGUGAGUAACACGUGGGCAACCUGCCUAUAAGACUGGGAUAACUUCGGGAAACCGGAGCUAAUACCGGAUAAUUCUUUUCUACACAUGUAGGGAAGCUGAAAGACGGUUUACGCUGUCACUUAUAGAUGGGCCCGCGGCGCAUUAGCUAGUUGGUGAGGUAAUGGCUCACCAAGGCCACGAUGCGUAGCCGACCUGAGAGGGUGAUCGGCCACACUGGGACUGAGACACGGCCCAGACACCUACGGGUGGCAG
rnacentral:rRNA from 1 species